GGGAACAAUUUGAAGCCUGACAGUGAAGAUUUCCAAGACUGACAGUGGGGAAAAAGCCAAGAUUGAAAUUGAAGUAUACCAAUGGGAUCAUGUCUGGCAUUAUAUUUCAAUUCUGCUGACCUUGAAAACCAUACAAAUACAUGUUCACAUGAUGGUAUUUCCCAGUCCUCUAUUUAAUGAACUGAUGAAUAAUACACCUAUUGAAGAUCAACUGUUUACCCCUGAAUUGACUUUCAAAGACCAUGCAUUGUCCAGAUGGUAUUUCCCAGUCCUCUAUUUAAUGAACUGAUGAAUAAGACACCUAUUGAAGAUCAACUGUUUACCCCUGAAUUGACUUUCAAAGACCAUGCAUUGUCCAGAUGGUAUUUCCCAGUCCUCUAUUUAAUGAACUGAUGAAUAAGACACCUAUUGAAGAUCAACUGUUUACCCCUGAAUUGACUUUCAAAGACCAUGCAUU